UUAAUGCCUGUUAUAAAGUGUAUUCUGUCUUCUUUAUUAAUCAGAUGAGCGCCAUAUUUUUACUCUCUGUAUUACAUCGGUCAUCCGAGGCUGUCUUUGAGUUUCAUUGUGUUUAACUAAACGAACACAGCUGCUAACUGGGGUGAUUAAACUCUUAUCUGUCACGUGACGUGCUAUAGACCUGGGAUCCGUUUUUAUAAUCAUUUCAGGUUCAAAGAUGUAAGUUGUAUUUGUAGUAAAAAUCAUGGUAACCAUGACACCUACAAUAGUAGGUAAAACCCAGUAAACAAGACAUUUACCAUGUGUACCACAGUAACUGUAGUUUUUACUAUGGUAUAGUAAUAGCACAAUAAUCACCAAAAUGACUGAGGUUGUACCACUGUAAUGGUAGUGUUUUUAAUGUGCUUUUUAUAUGACAUAUUUCACAGUAAUCACAUUUACUGUACCAUGCUUGUAAUACCCUUUUUAAUGUAAAUAAAAAAACAUUUUUCCCAUCUUGCAGUUCAAUUCAUAUUAGUUUAUAUCUUAAAUAUUUUGCCCACAGAUCACUAUUAACAUUCUGUAUAUAAUUCUGUUUAAUUUCUUUCCCCUUGUAUUUAUUUUUUUAGCUGAAAAGACAUAAAGGAAUCAGUCACCCCAGUCGUGUUUGUGGAGAGGUAUUCCUUCAGAAAUGGAGAAGACAGAAAGCUGCAGAGGCAGGAUUGUUUGCACAUAACACUGUAGAUCUCCGUCAUGCACAAGGACUCACCUAUUUAACUCUUUAUCCCCCCCGCCACACACACACAGAAAUGGUUCCUGGAUCAGUGACUUAAGACUUUGCAGUGAUUUGAUUUCUGCAGAAGAUGUAACUUUGUUUUAAUUAAGCUUAUAAUGAAUACAUUGUGACCUUCCAGCAACCCAUAUACUG
ensembl:lncRNA